rnacentral:rRNA from 1 species
AACGAACGCUGGCGGCGCGCUUAACACAUGCAAGUCGAACGAGAAGGCGUAGCAAUACGCUUGUAAAGUGGCGAACGGGUGAGGAAUACAUGGGUAACCCUACCCUCGAGUGGGGGAUAACCCGCCGAAAGGCGGGCUAAUACCGCGUACGCUUCCGAUCUUGCGGGAUCGGAAGGAAAGCUGUCCCUUGGGGAUGGCGCUCAAGGAUGGGCUCAUGUCCUAUCAGCUUGUUGGUAGGGUAACGGCCUACCAAGGCAUCGACGGGUAGCUGGUCUGAGAGGACGAUCAGCCACACUGGCACUGCGACACGGGCCAGACUCCUACGGGAGGCAGCAGUGAGGAAUAUUGCGCAAUGGGCGAAAGCCUGACGCAGCGACGCCGCGUGGGGGAUGAAGGUCUUCGGAUUGUAAACCCC